CUCUGCCGGUGCACCGGCACCUCCCGGCAACGCCGCCUCCCUCCUGCACCUCUCCGCAGGGCACACGGCUGCCAUGCAGCCGGCACUGGAGACUCCUAAUCCUGGCGGGAUUGUAAAACUCUGCUGUGCGAAAUUAUUAGGCUGCUUUACGCAAUAUUUAGCUUAGAUCUCCCUGGUUGAAAUGUAUGUGCAUUAGUUCCAUCUUCCAAGCUUGCCUGGAGAGAAGAUAAUACUCAAGCAUUGCACUAAAGUAUCAAAGACCUUGUGUAAAUCCCCAUUCUAUAACGAGGGCAGCUAAAAUAUUACAAAGCCAAAUGACAUAGCCGUCAUUAUCACCAGGAGAGCUGGAACUGCCUUCAACAUCCAUUCCCUGGUCAGAAGCUGCCAACAGGACUAGUACAUACCCUUUGAAAUCAGGAAAGUACAGUGGCAAAGAGUAACACAGCAAUGAGCCAAAAGCACACAGGGAUCGGGAUCUGGAUGGAUGCCAAGUUGAUUCCAUCAUGGAAGUCAGGAAAUUGCCACACAGGACUUUGGUGCUCCAUGAUAAGCAGAACACUUACAUUGAGCAACAGCGCUUGACUCUUGUUUCUUAUCUGUGUCACCCCUCCUGCAGCAAGGCCUACCUGAGUGUGCUCAGGGCAUGGGGUGGUGGCACUUGCGCUGACCCAAGCGCUAUCGCCACGGGGGUGGCUUCCCACCCAAGACUUAUCUGUAGCCACAGGCUGCUGCUUGUCUCUUGGGCAUUCCCACAGUGAUAUAAACAGCCGGUUUGGUGAUACAGCUGAAAAUCAUCCUUUCCCUUUAGAACAGAAAAAAAACCCAAAAAAACCCUUCUCCUCUUAAUCAAGAACUUGGAGCCUUGUCCUUUCCAAGCUGUCCCAGAGCAGCUGGGGGCUCACAGGACAGGAAUUCAGUGUGACUGCAGAGGAGUCUCAGAAGACAUCACAGUGUUCCAGUCCACCCCCUCCUCUUCUUGUUUUAACUCUGCAUUCAGGCACUUUGGGAGAAGACAGAACAAACCCAGCUCUGCAUGGGCACUGUCAUUUGUUACGUCUGGGUCUUCGAUCACCAGCAACCGAAUUGGCAUCGAAGCCGUGCGGGCCACCAGUAGAGGGCAAAGGAAGCCAAGCAAUUCUCUUCCCCAGAGCAACAAAGAAAACAACGUCAUCUCUAACUGGCCGCUGCUCCCGGCGCGGUGGGAUCACACCGUGAAUUAGCAAAACAUGUUGGCUUUACCCCUCAGCUGGCGGCGACCGAAAGCCAGAGAUGAAGUUCAAAUGUUAAGGGCUCCAGCCCAAAAGAGUGAGGCUGGAGCCGCCCGUGUCUGUGACUCAGGACACACGGAUCCCGUAAUCCAGAGAGAGCAGCGCGACUCCCGCUAGAGCCAGCGCUAAAACCCAGUGACCUAAAUAUUCUCUCCCGUAGUGCCGCAUGAGCAGCUCCCGGGAGCACCACGUUUUACUGCGGAAAUGUGAAAUUGUUUUGUGGGGGAAGGGAUGGAAGAACGAGCGAGGCGUUGAUUUGCUCAGAAAGAGAAGAAAAUCUUCAAGGUAAAUCACUUCGGUCUAGACGAACACUUCAUCCAGUUUAAAACAAAUCUUAUUUUAUCUUUGAAUUCAUGGUUUCAUUUUCUGUCGAAUAUACCAAGGAGAUGCUUGUUAAAUAUUUCCACCUGAGAGCAAGUUCUCACACAGCACCUGUCAUAUUUGCAAUUUGCAAAAUAUAUGACACCAUUUACACAAAUUUCUCGUUCACAAGAUGAAAUCCCUACAAUUUGUGCUUCAGCCACUAGAAAUCAAGCAAAAACAAUCCCUGGGGAUAACUGCUGAGUAUUACAUUAAGCAAUAUCAUUUUAUAAAGUCACAGAAUAAAAUGCCAGUAGGUGCUAACUGCAUUUCAUGGAUUAUAAAAUAUAAUUACAUUCAGAAAUGUAUCUGCCAAAGAUUAAAAAAAAUAAUAAAAUAAAAAAUCUCUGACUAGAAAGUGCAGUGAGAUCAGUGAAUUACAUGCAAAAUUCUAUGGAAACAGUCCUGCAGACAAAUGUGUGUGUGUUAAUUCCACGCCAAUGGAAAGCAGCAUUUCCACCAGUGGGAUUACUCACCUAUUCCAGUCGAGGAUGAUCACAAACGCUGACAGGUAACUCCCUUUUCAACUCAAGACAUCGAAACCCUCCCUUUCUUGUCACGAUUGUAUAAAGGUGCUGAGAUUUAAAGUUCGAUUUAGCACGUGUGAGCUGUACUUCAUCAUGCCUUCAUUUCAAGUGUGCAGAGGGCAAUAAUCAAGACAAAAGCUGUCAUUUAAAUUGUUCUUCUGGUCUCUGGCCACAUUUCUGUCGUCUUUUUCUCCAUCUGAAGCAUCACUGAUUAAUCUGAAUUACUCAAGUCAGUUUAAUUAACGUUGCUUUGUCUUUAAAUAGUUUAGCCUUAAUCUGUCUAAUCCUUUACUGGUUGUAUUAAUCCCUGUUAAAUUUGCCUAAUGAUAAAAUAAGCAAACUUGCACAAGAUCGAAUGAGUAGUACUGAACAUUUGAAAGAAUUUCAUGAUUGCUCACA